GACGAACGCUGGCGGCGUGCCUAAUACAUGCAAGUCGAGCGGACGUUUUUGAAGCUUGCUUCAAAAACGUUAGCGGCGGACGGGUGAGUAACACGUGGGCAACCUACCUUAUCGACUGGGAUAACUCCGGGAAACCGGGGCUAAUACCGGAUAAUAUCUAGCACCUCCUGGUGCCGGAUUAAAAGAGGGCUUCUUGCUCUCACGAUGAGAUGGGCCCGCGGCGCAUUAGCUAGUUGGAGAGGUAACGGCUCCCCAAGGCGACGAUGCGUAGCCGACCUGAGAGGGUGAUCGGCCACGCUGGGACUGAGACACGGCCCAGACUCCUACGGGAGGCAGCAGUAGGGAAUCUUCCGCAAUGGACGAAAGUCUGACGGAGCAACGCCGCGUGAGUGAUGAAGGGUUUCGGCUCGUAAAGCUCUGUUAUGAGGGAAGAACACGUACCGUUCGAAUAGGGCGGUACCUUGACGGUACCUCAUCAGAAAGCCACGGCUAACUACGUGCCAGCAGCCGCCGUAA
rnacentral:rRNA from 1 species